CGACCUCAGAUCAGACGUGGCGACCCCCCGAAUUUAAGCAUAUUACUAAGUGGAGGAAAAGAAACUAACCAAGAUUCCCUCAGUAACGUUGAGUGAAGAGCGAAGAGCCCAGCACUGAAUCUGCGCCCGGGUGAUGGGCACAGGGAAAUGUGGCAUACAGAAGUGCAUCUCCCUGGCACCACCCUGGGGGCCCAAGUCCUUGUGAUCGAGACUCAGCCCGUGGACGGUGUGAGGCCAGUGGCGGCCCCUGGCAUGUUGAGAUCAGGUCUUUCCGGAGUCGGGUUUUUUGUGAAUGCAGCCCAAAGCGGGUGGUAAACUCCAUCUAAGGCUAAACACCAACACGAAACUGAUAGUGUACAAGUACCAUAAGGGAAAGUUGAAAAGAACUUUGAAGAGAGAGUUCAAGAGGGCGUGAAACCAUUCAGCGGUAAAUGAGUGGGGUCUGCACGAUUUGCCCAAAGGAUUCAACUCGGCAGCUGCAGUGAACGCUUGGGCAAGGCAGAUCUCCCUCCGGGGGGGGGACCUUCCCUGGGCAUGCUGGCCACCAUCGGGUACAGUUCCUCCGCUGCGGUGAGCUGCGACCGGCUCUGGGUUGGCCGUGAAGGCCGUGCAGAAGUUGGCUCCCCUCUCCAGAGGGGAGUGUAACAGCCUGUGAAAUCAGCACUCGCCAUGCCCCGGGGUCAUGGAAAAUGACCGCCGCCACACCCACCUUUGCCCUCGCAGUGGGGGCCAUGGGCCCCUGGCUCCUGGCAGGACUGUUGACUGGGCUGGACUGUCCUCAGUGUGACUGAACCUCAUCCCCCCGCUGGGCCGGCGGGCUCACCUUGGGUGCCCGGGGUCUACAGCGACAUCAGUGACCUACCCGUCCCAUCUUGAAACAUGGACCAAGGAGUCUAACAGGUGCACGAGUCCAAGUGCGGGCAGGAGACCCCACAGCACAAUGAAAGUGAGGGCAGGCAUGUGACGGCUGAGGCUGGAUCCCCCUGCCUCACACAGUGGGUGCACUGCCAGCCCAUCUCACCUGUCCUGUCAGGGAGGUGGAGCAUGAGCGCACCUGGUGGGACCCAAAAGAUGGUAAACUAUGCCUGGGGAGGUUGAAGCCAGAGGAUGCUCUGGUGGAGGUCCUUAGCGGUCCUGACAUGCAAUUGAUCAUCUGACCUGGGUAUAGGCGCGAAAGACUAAUUGAACCAGCUAGUAGCUGGUUCCAUCCAAUGUUUCCCUCAGGAUAGCUAGUGCUCCAUGGACGCAGUCUUAUCUGGUAAAGCAAAUGAUUAGAGGUCCUGGGGCUGAAACAAUCUCAACCUAUUCUCAAACUUUAAAUGGGUAAGAAGCCUGAUUCGCUGUUGGAGCCAGACGUGGAAUGCAAGCACCCAGUGGGCCACUUUUGGUAAGCAGAACUGGUGCUGUGGGAUGAACCAAAUGCCAGGUUAAGGCGCCCGAUGCUGAUGCUCAUCAGACCCCAGAAAAGGUGUUGAUUGAUAUAGACAGCAGGAUGGUGGCCAUGGAAGUCGGAAUUCACUAAGAAGCAUGUAACAACUCACCUGCUGAAUCAACUAGCCCUGAAAAUGGAUAGCACUGGAGCGUCGGGCCCAUACUCGGCUGUUGCCUGCACUGGGAUCCGAGGGGGCUACGCCACGAUGAGUAGGAGGGUGGUGGCACUGAAGCCCAGGGCGAGGGCCUGGGUGGAGCUGCCGUGGGUGCAGAUCUUGGUGGUAGUAGCAAAUAUUCAAAUGAGAGCUUUGAAGGCCAAAGUGGAGAAGGGUUCCAUGUGAACAGCAGUUGAACAUGGGUCAGGCGGUCCUAAGAGAUAGGCGAACACCAUUCCGAAGUGAUGGGCGAUGGCCUCUGUCACCCUCAGCUGAUUGAAAGGGAGUCGGUUCAGAUCCCUGAAUCUGGAGUGGCAGAGAUGGGCGCCUUGCGGCAUCCAGUGUGGUGAUGCAAACAAUCCUAGGGAAGCCAGUGGGGGCCCCUGGGAGAGUUCUCUUUUCUUUGUAAAGGGAAGGGCACCCUGGAAUGGGUUUACCCCGAGAGAGGGGCCCAUGCCCUGGAAAGCAUUGUGGUUCCAGCGAAGUCAGGUGGCCCUUGAAUAUCCGGGAGAGGGUGUAAGUCUCGUGCCAGGCCAUACCCAUAUCUGCAGCAGGUCUCCAAAGUGAACAGCCUCUGACAUGUUAGAACAAUGUAGGUAAGGGAAGUUGACAAGCCAGAUCUGUAACUUUGGGAUAAGGAUUGACUAAGGGCUGGGUCGUUCAGGCUCGGACAUGAAGCGGGGCUGUAAGUGUGCUGCAACUGGACAAUGUGUCACCCCCUCACCAAGCUCCCUCCUCCUGGAGGGCUGGGGGGACAGCGGCGGUGAGUCUGGAUGUGCACUGGACCAUUUCUGUGGAUUGCCCCAGCUGUGGUGGGCGCCGGUCCUGACCAGCGUCCCACAUCAUCCAGCAGCUAGCAGCUGACUUAGAACUGGUGUGGACCAGGGGAAUCCAACUGUUUAAUUAAAGCAAAGCAUUGCGAAGGCCCGAGAUGGGUGUUGAAACAAUGUGAUUUAAUGAAGUGCAGGUUAACGAUGGGAGUAACUAUGAGUCUCUUAAGGUAGCCAAAUGCCUUGUCAUCUUAUUAGUGACACACAUGAAUGGAUGAAUGAGUUCCUACCUACUACCUAGUGAAACCACAGCCAAGGGAACAGGCUUGGCAGAAUCAGCAGGGAUAGAAGACCCUGUUGAGCUUGACUCUACUCUGGCACUGUGAAGAGACAUGAGAGGUGUAGAAUAAGUGGGAGGCCAGUAAAAUGCCAUUACUCUUAUUGUUUUUUCACUUACCCAGUGAGGCAGGGUGGCAAGCCCCACCAGGGCUCUCACUUCUGGCUGCAAGCGCCCAGGCCUCUUGGCGAGACCCACUCCAGGGACAGUGUCAGGUGGGGAGUUUGACUGGGGUGGUACACCUGUCAAAGAGUAAUGCAGGUGUCCUAAGGUGAGCUCAGGACACCUGUCAAAGAGUAAUGCAGGUGUCCUAACAUGAGCUCAGGGAGGACAAAACCUCUCAUGGAGCAGAAGGCAAAAGCUCGCUUGAUCUUGAUUUUCAGUAUGAAUACAGACCAUAAAAGCGGAGCCUCAUGAUCCUUCUGGCUUUUUGGGUUUUAAGCAAGAGGUGUUAGAAAAGUUACCACAGGGAUAACUGGCAUGUGGCAGCCAAUCAUUCAUAGCAAUGUCACUUUUUGAUCCUUGGAUGUCGGCUCUUCCUAUCAUUGUGAAGCAGAAUCCACCAAACAUUGGAUUGUUCACCCACUAAUAUGGAACGUGAGCUGGGUUUAGCCUGUCGUGAGACAGGUUACUUUUACCCUAGUGAUGAUAUGUUGUUGCGAUAGUUAUCCUGCUCAGUACGAGAGGAACUGCAGAUUCAGAAAUUUGGUGUAUGUGCUUGGCUGAGGAGCCAAUGGUUUGAAGCUACCAUCUGUGGGAUUAUGACUAAAUGUGUCUAAGUCAGAAUCCUGCCUAAAUGUAAUGAUAUCACAGUGCCGCAGAUCUGCAGUUGGCCAGGGAUAGCCGGACGCAAGUUCAGUGAGGAGUGCCGCUUGUCACUGGGUUGGAGCGCAGAUGGAAGGGGUCCAUCUCUCUCCAGCCAUGCACUGCAUGUUUGUGGGGAACCGGGUGGUAAAUCAUUCAUAGACAACCUGAUUCUGGGUCAGGGUUUUGUACAUAGCAGAGCAGCAAAAAGCUGCAAUCUAUUGAAAGUUAGCCCUCGAGCAAAGCUUUUGU